CCUACGGGGGGCUGCAGUGGGGAAUAUUGCACAAUGGGCGCAAGCCUGAUGCAGCCAUGCCGCGUGUGUGAAGAAGGCCUUCGGGUUGUAAAGCACUUUCAGCGGGGAGGAAGGCGGUGAGGUUAAUAACCUCAUCGAUUGACGUUACCCGCAGAAGAAGCACCGGCUAACUCCGUGCCAGCAGCCGCGGUAAUACGGAGGGUGCAAGCGUUAAUCGGAAUUACUGGGCGUAAAGCGCACGCAGGCGGUCUGUCAAGUCGGAUGUGAAAUCCCCGGGCUCAACCUGGGAACUGCAUUCGAAACUGGCAGGCUAGAGUCUUGUAGAGGGGGGUAGAAUUCCAGGUGUAGCGGUGAAAUGCGUAGAGAUCUGGAGGAAUACCGGUAGCGAAGGCGGCCCCCUGGACAAAGACUGACGCUCAGGUGCGAAAGCGUGGGGAGCAAACAGGAUUAGAUACCCGGGUAGUC
rnacentral:rRNA from 1 species